AACGAACGCUGGCGGCAGGCUUAACACAUGCAAGUCGAGCGCCCCGCAAGGGGAGCGGCAGACGGGUGAGUAACGCGUGGGAAUCUACCCAUCUCUACGGAAUCACGCAUGGAAACGUGUGCUAAUACCGUAUACGUCCUUCGGGAGAACGAUUUAUCGGAGAUGGAUGAGCCCGCGUUGGAUUAGCUAGUUGGUGGGGUAAAGGCCUACCAAGGCGACGAUCCAUAGCUGGUCUGAGAGGAUGAUCAGCCACACUGGGACUGAGACACGGCCCAGACUCCUACGGGAGGCAGCAGUGGGGAAUAUUGGACAAUGGGCGCAAGCCUGAUCCAGCCAUGCCGCGUGAGUGAUGAAGGCCCUAGGGUUGUAAAGCUCUUUCACCGGUGAAGAUAAUGACGGUAACCGGAGAAGAAGCCCCGGCUAACUUCGUGCCAGCCGCCCGCAGUAACAC
rnacentral:rRNA from 1 species